CCCUCGUCUCCUCUCCUCUC
rnacentral:miRNA from 1 species